rnacentral:rRNA from 1 species
CAGUCGCCACGGUAACACGAGGGGGGCAAGCGUUGUUCGGAAUUAUUGGGCGUAAAGGGCGCGUAGGCGGUUUGGCAAGUUUGGUGUGAAAUCUUCGGGCUCAACUCGAAGUCUGCAUCGAAAACUGCCGGGCUUGAGUAUGGGAGAGGUGAGUGGAAUUUCCGGUGUAGCGGUGAAAUGCGUAGAUAUCGGAAGGAACACCUGUGGCGAAAGCGGCUCACUGGACCAUUACUGACGCUCAUGCACGAAAGCGUGGGGAGCAAACAGGAUUAGAGACCCGCGUAGUCCCUGUCUCUUAUAC